GAUGAACGCUAGCUACAGGCUUAACACAUGCAAGUCGAGGGGCAGCAUGACCUAGCAAUAGGUUGAUGGCGACCGGCGCACGGGUGAGUAACACGUAUCCAACCUGCCGAUUAUUCCGGGAUAGCCUUUCGAAAGAAAGAUUAAUACUGGAUAGCAUAACGAGAAGGCAUCUUCUUGUUAUUAAAGAAUUUCGAUAAUCGAUGGGGAUGCGUUCCAUUAGUUUGUUGGCGGGGUAACGGCCCACCAAGACAUCGAUGGAUAGGGGUUCUGAGAGGAAGGUCCCCCACAUUGGAACUGAGACACGGUCCAAACUCCUACGGGAGGCAGCAGUGAGGAAUAUUGGUCAAUGGACGAGAGUCUGAACCAGCCAAGUAGCGUGAAGGAUGACUGCCCUAUGGGUUGUAAACUUCAUUUAUAUGGGAAUAAAGUGGGCCACGUGUGGCUUUUUGUAUGUACCAUACGAAUAAGGAUCGGCUAGCUCCGUG
rnacentral:rRNA from 1 species